rnacentral:rRNA from 1 species
AUGGCGUUGACUGACUGGUGGUCGUCGCCGACGCAAUUCCGUGCAGCGAGCGGCGAGGGGCGGCGAUGGAGCUACAACCGGAGGGGAGCUAUAACCGUCGCCGGUGGAGCUGCAACCGCAUGCGCAGCUGUUGCAUGGAUUGAGGUAGUUUUUGACUACAUCCAUUCAAUGGCGAGAACAGCCGGCGAGGGUGGGGACCGACCACGAGGACGGCCAGCGACGAGGACGGCCACCGGAGGGGAGUGCACGUGCGGCGACGAGGAUCCUGAGUGGGAGUUGCAGAUCCAGCCCGAGGAAGAAGAAGACGUGGGCGAAUCGUUUUUCUUUUUUUGCCCAGAUCCAUUGGCCAAGCGGCUCGCAUCAAACGGCUGGGGCGGGAUCGGCGGAAAAUUUCGGCCGGUUUGUUACGAGGGCUUCCGCCUAGAGUUCCCAUGGGUCGACUCAGAUCUAGUUGAAGCUAGCCCAGCGCAUUCAGUCCAGCGAUUCGUUCCAGCAUUAAACCAACACAAGCGAUGUGGGUGUCAGGCGAGCGCGGGCUGCGCGGGUGGUCGUGGACGAGCGCGGGCUAUGCCGGUGGCCGGGAAACGCGGGUGGCGCGUUUGGCUGGUGAGCUGUGUGGUUGUGUUGGGUGCGUUCAGAACGGAGUCCACGCGUGCGGGGCCGGCCUCAUCCACUUCCACCCCCUGGCCACCCACGUGCUCCCUCACCGGGGACAAGCGAAACCUAGCACGCACGGCCAUGGGGUUCUUCGGCGGCUCCAACAAGAAAAAGGGGAAGGCCCCGGUAGGUAGCUCCUCCUCCUUACUUCCUCCUCGGCCGCCGUCGAUGCCUGCCCGACCCGUGAGGCAGCGGCUGCACAUCCCUGUGCACCAGGCGCGGUGGCAUUGGCAGUACAGGCAGCCACUGUCGUACCCAGAUGCCACGCUACCUCACGACUGGCAUCUGGAUCCACAACGGUUGCGACAGGCACACGCGGAGGAGGUGCGCAUGCGCCGGGACCUCCUGACGCUAGAGCAGCGCCGGCUGCCGGCCUAUGCGCCGGACUCUCCCGAAUGGAACGUCUGGUUUUCUCUCGAACACGAGGAGCAAUGCCGGCACGGCGUCAACGAGCACCACACCAACACUCCGCUGCCGCCGAAGGUCAAGCCAAAGGAGGAGGAGGAGUCUUCCUACCAUGCAGCGUUGGCGCCCGCCAUGCAAACGUCCAUUGAGGACGAGCGGCCUAAGGCGGAGAAGGAGGGGGUGUCCUACCAGGCUAGGCCGGCGGAGGCCAUCGCCCUCUCCGCUGCGGGUGACUGCGUCGUGUCGCCUUCCCCUCCUAAGGUCAAGCUGCCAAAGUGGUGGCACCGGAGGGUGGCGGAGGAGAGCGCCUACGGGGAGCGCCUGAUGCAGCUCGAGUGCGAGGAGGAGGAGGGACGUCGCGAGAAGGAGAAGGAGGAGCGCCAUGCCGGCGGUGGAGCAGGCGAGUUGCCGGCGGUCCAGCCGGCCCAGCGGGAUGUGGCCGUGCCUAGGACACGGCCUUCCCAUGGGCUGGCACCGCGCCGGUGCUCGUGGACCUCACCGGCCCCGCCAAGGACGACGAGGACGACUAGGGCAGCGCUCCCUGCCACCCGAGGAAACCAAAAGCAUGGUGAACUGAUCUCCUAUUCGCCAUGGCCCAGCAUCUGCCGAAUCAUUCUUGCUGGGAUGGAACCAUCGGGCAGUUGCCUUUUGGCAACAAUUGUGACGGUUGCUCAUGUAUAA